UAGCUGCUCAGAUAGCAGAUGUGGUGUUGGCUUUAGGGAUGAUCAGUGAGAUACACCUGCUGGAGCGAGUGCUACGGGUGGGUGUUGCCAUCGUGACCAGUGAACUGAGAUAAGGCGGAGCUUUAUCUAGCAUGGACUUGUAGAUGACCUGGAGCCAGUGGGUCUGGCGACGAAUAUGUAGCGAGGGCCAGCCGACUAGAGCAUACAGGUCGCAGUGGUGGGUGGUAUAAGGUAAUUUAGUGACAAAACGGAUGGCACUGUGAUAAACUGCAUCCAGUUUGCUGAGUAGAGUGUUGGAAGCAAUUUUGUAGAUGACAUCGCCGAAGUCGAGGAUCGGUAGGAUAGUCAGUUUUACUAGGUUGCCUUAUUGUACUGCCAGCGCCCCCUACAGGCUUCCUAACUCAGCGCUCACUGUCAAACCUUGCUGUCACCAUGCUAUUCUGUGGGAUCACAGCUCACCGCAUCAGCAAGACCAUCAUCUUUUACCUGAACGAGACGGCAUCAACUAAACCUUCACCUGGGCCUCCCAUUGGGCCUCCCCUUGGCCCUCUGUCUGCCCUGAACGAUGCAGCAUGUACCCCCACCAGCCCUUACCCCAGGCCCAACCAAGCCCCUGCUGCUAAUGCUUCCCUGGUUGGGGUCGCGACCCCAGGCUGUGGCCAAGUACUUUGAGAUCUACUUCCGUACAGGCUUUGACGUGCUCAUAGUGGAGAGCGAGGAGGAUACACCUUCACCCAGUUGCUGGUACACAUAUCCCACGACACACAGAAGUACCACAGCUUCAUUAAGAGGAUCAAAGGCCACAUCUAUGACAGCCUAGUGCUGGGCUCACCGGAGAGGAUGGCUACCGGUGAGUCUUGGGGUCAGGGAUUAGAGGUUAAAGGUUAUAUACCGUCAGGUGUAACACAUGUAUGACAGCCUAGUACUGUCUAGUACAGCCUGGUUAGGCUCUAACCAAUAGUGCAAAAAAGGUGUUAGGUAAGUAAGGAAAUAAAACAACAGUAAAAAGACAGGCUAUAUACAGUAGCGAGGCUAUAAAAGUAGCGAGGCUACAUACAGACACCGGUUAGUCAGGCUGAUUGAGGUAGUAUGUACAUGUAGAUAUGGUUAAAGUGACUAUGCAUAUACGAUGAACAGAGAGUAGCAGUAGCCUAAAAGAGGGGUUGGCGGGUGUUGGGUAGCGGCAAACAAUGCAGAUAGCCCGGUUAGCCAAUGUGCGGGAGCACUGGUCGGUCGGCCCAAUUGAGAUAGUAUGUACAUCAAUGUAUCGUUAAAGUGACUAUGCAUAUAUGAUAAACAGAGAAUAG
ensembl:lncRNA